AGAGUUUGAUCCUGGCUCAGAUUGAACGCUGGCGGCAUGCUUUACACAUGCAAGUCGAACGGUAACGCGGGGGCAACCCUGGCGACGAGUGGCGAACGGGUGAGUAAUACAUCGGAACAUGUCCUGGAGUGGGGGAUAGCUCGGCGAAAGCCGGAUUAAUACCGCAUACGCUCUGAGGAGGAAAGCGGGGGACCUGGUAACGGGCCUCGCGCUGCGGGAGUGGCCGAUGUCGGAUUAGCUAGUUGGUGAGGUAAAGGCUCACCAAGGCGACGAUCCGUAGCUGGUCUGAGAGGAUGAUCAGCCACACUGGGACUGAGACACGGCCCAGACUCCUACGGGAGGCAGCAGUGGGGAAUUUUGGACAAUGGGGGCAACCCUGAUCCAGCCAUGCCGCGUGAGUGAAGAAGGCCUUCGGGUUGU
rnacentral:rRNA from 1 species